rnacentral:rRNA from 1 species
GACGAACGCUGGCGGCGUGCUUAACACAUGCAAGUCGAACGGAAAGGCCCUGCUUUUGUGGGGUGCUCGAGUGGCGAACGGGUGAGUAACACGUGAGUAACCUGCCCUUGACUUUGGGAUAACUUCAGGAAACUGGGGCUAAUACCGGAUAGGAGCUCCUGCUGCCUGGUGGGGGUUGGAAAGUUUCGGCGGUUGGGGAUGUACUCGCGGCUUAUCAGCUUGUUGGUGGGGUAGUGGCUUACCAAGGCUUUGACGGGUAGCCGGCCUGAGAGGGUGACCGGCCACAUUGGGACUGAGAUACGGCCCAGACUCCUACGGGAGGCAGCAGUGGGGAAUAUUGCACAAUGGGCGGAAGCCUGAUGCAGCAACGCCGCGUGCGGGAUGACGGCCUUCGGGUUGUAAACCGCUUUCGCCUGUGACGAAGCGUGAGUGACGGUAAUGGGUAAAGAAGCACCGGCUAACUACGUG